AUCACUUCUCGGCCUUUUGGCUAAAAUCAAGUGUAGUAUCUUCUUAUCGUCCUCUAUCUGAGAACAUUAUAUUAAAUGUAUUUUUGGAAUAGGGAGAUGAAAUAGGAGCUUGCUCUGUCCACUCUACGCAUCGACCCAGUAUUGCAGUAGGUAUUGCAGUACCUCUGGGAAUGGUGCACCAAGG
rnacentral:snRNA from 1 species